rnacentral:rRNA from 1 species
UACGAAGGGGGCUAGCGUUGCUCGGAUUGACUGGGCGUAAAGGGCGCGUAGGCGGUUCGUACAGUCAGACGUGAAAUUCCUGGGCUCAACCUGGGGGCUGCGUUUGAUACGUGCGGACUUGAGUGCGGAAGAGGGUCGUGGAAUUCCCAGUGUAGAGGUGAAAUUCGUAGAUAUUGGGAAGAACACCGGUGGCGAAGGCGGCGACCUGAUCCGAUACUGACGCUGAGGCGCGAAAGCGUGGGGAGCAAACAGG